rnacentral:rRNA from 1 species
AACGCGAAGAACCUUACCCAGACUUGACAUGCAGUGGACGGUGCCAGAAAUGGCAAUUUCCUUCGGGACCGCUGCACAGGUGCUGCAUGGCUGUCGUCAGCUCGUGCCGUGAGGUGUUGGGUUAAGUCCCGCAACGAGCGCAACCCUUAUCGUCAGUUGCCAACAUUUUAGGUGGGAACUCUGGCGAGACUGCCUGGGUUAACCAGGAGGAAGGUGAGGAUGACGUCAAGUCCGCAUGGCCCUUAUGUCUGGGGCUACACACGUGCUACAAUGGUCGGUACAGAAGGCAGCGAAGCCGCGAGGUGGAGCAAAUCCCUAAAACCGAUCCCAGUUCGGAUUGGAGUCUGCAACUCGACUCCAUGAAGCCGGAAUUGCUAGUAAUGGCGUGUCAGCAAUAACGCCGUGAAUACGUUCCCGGGCCUUGUACACACCGGUAUCUC